rnacentral:sRNA from 1 species
GAUUCCAGCUCUCGCGCCCGACGAGGUGGAUUUGGCUGUCCACCGAGCUCCGGCGCCUGUCGUUCUAAUUGGGUUUGGAUUUGCACCGUUAAGGAGGGGGGAAGAGAAAGAAGAGGAGGGCGAGGAAGGCGAGUCCAGCUAGCGGCUGUUGCGGGGACCGUAGCCCCAGCUGCAGCUCCGAAGAAUCCCCCGCCACGGUUUCGGUGGAGCGUCUGGGCACGGGAUGGAGUGAAAGAGCGAGUGCCUCUCCAAGGGGGGGUGGGAGGGGGUCAGGCGGUGCAGAGGAGAGAGAGAGCGAGAAGAAGCCGCGGCUGGCGACUGCGAAUUUGGGAUUCGAUUGGGAGGGACCACUCACUCGGGGGAAAUGGAUUCUGUACCACGGCUGACCAGCGUUUUGACUUUGCUGUUCUCCGGCUUGUGGCAUUUAGGAUUAACAGCGACAAACUUGAGGCCCUUAAUAGAAUGGAAAGAAGAACAGGAAGUAAGAAAGCCUGAAAGACUCAAACACUGUAUAAUUUUUCUCUGAAUAAGCUAAU